rnacentral:rRNA from 1 species
UACGGAAGGCAGCAGUGGGGAAUAUUGCACAAUGGGCGAAAGCCUGAUGCAGCUAUGCCGCGUGUAUGAAGAAGGCCUUAGAGUUGUAAAGUACUUUCAUCGGGGAGGAAAAACAAAACUAAUAAUUUUAUUUCUUGACGUUACCCGAAAAAGAAGCACCGGCUAACUCCGUGCCAGCAGCCGCGGUAAUACGGAGGGUGCUAGCGUUAAUCAGAAUUACUGGGCGUAAAGAGCACGUAGGUGGUUUUUUUAAGUCAGAUGUGAAAUCCCUGGGCUUAACCUAGGAACUGCAUUUUGAAACUGAAAUACUAGAGUAUCGUAGAGGGAGGUAGAAUUCUAGGUGUAGCGGUGAAAUGCGUAGAUAUCUGGAGGAAUACCUGUGGCGAAAGCGGCCUCCUAAACGAAUACUGACACUGAGGUGCGAAAGCGUGGGGAGCAAACAGGGAUUAGAUACC